rnacentral:lncRNA from 1 species
GAUCCAGAACGGCAGCUGGUCCUUGCUGGGCUGUUCCUGUCCAUGUGCCUGGUCACGGUGCUGGGGAACCUGCUCAUCAUCCUGGCCGUCAGUCCUGACUCCCACCUCCACACCCCCAUGUACUUCUUCCUCUCCAACCUAUCCUUGCCUGACAUCGGUUUCACCUCCACCACGGUCCCCAAGAUGAUUGUGGACAUCCGAUCUCACAGCAGAGUCAUCUCCUAUGCAGGCUGCCUGACUCAGACAUCUCUCUUUGCCAUUUUUGGAGGCAUGGAAGAGAGACAUGCUCCUGAGUGUGAUGGCCUAUGACCAGUUUGUAGCCAUCUGUCACCCUCUAUAUCAUUCAGCCGUCAUGAACCCUUGUUUCUGUGGCUUUCUAGUUUUGUUGACUUUUUUUUUUUUCUCAGUCUUUUAGACGCCCAGCUGCACAACUUGAUUGCCUUACAAAUGACCUGCUUCAAGGAUGUGGAAAUUCCUAAUUUCUUCUGUGACCCUUCUCCACUCCCCCAUCUUGCAUGUUGUGACACCUUCACCAAUAACAUAAUCAUGUAUUUCCCUGCUGCCAUAUUUGGUUUUCUUCCCAUCUCGGGGACCCUUUUCUCUUACUAUAAAAUUGUUUCCUCCAUUCUGAGGGUUUCAUCAUCAGGUGGGAAGUAUAAGGCCUUCUCCACCUGUGGGUCUCACCUGUCGGUUGUUUGCUGAUUUUAUGGAACAGGCAUUGGAGGGUACCUCAGUUCAGAUGUGUCAUCUUCCCCGAGAAAGGCUGCGGUGGCCUCAGUGAUGUACACGGUGGUCACCCCCAUGCUGAACCCCUUCAUCUACAGCCUGAGAAACAGGGAUAUUAAAAGUGUCCUG